rnacentral:rRNA from 1 species
UACGGAGGGUGCAAGCGUUAAUCGGAAUUACUGGGCGUAAAGCGCACGUAGGUGGUUUGUUAAGCCAGCUGUGAAAUCCCCGGGCUCAACCUGGGCACUGCAGUUGGAACUGGCAAGCUAGAGUAGGGUAGAGGGGUGUGGAAUUCCAGGUGUAGCGGUGAAAUGCGUAGAUAUCUGGAGGAACAUCAGUGGCGAAGGCGACCCCCUGGACUCAUACUGGCACUGAGGUGCGAAAGCGUGGGGAGCAAACAGG